rnacentral:rRNA from 1 species
AUUUAAUGGAGAGUUUGAUCCUGGCUCAGGACGAACGCUGGCGGCGUGCUUAACACAUGCAAGUCGAACGGAGAUUAGCGAGGAGUUUACUUUUUGCUAAUUUUAGUGGCGGACGGGUGAGUAACGCGUGGAUAACCUGCCUGAUAGCCUGGGAUAACGCCGGGAAACUGGUGCUAAUACCGGAU